GUGAGGAAUAUUGCGCAAUGGAGGCAACUCUGACGCAGCCAUGCCGCGUGCAGGAAGAAGGCGCUACGCGUUGUAAACUGCUUUUAACCGGGAAGAAACCCCAGGACGUGUCCUGGGUUGACGGUACCGGAGGAAUAAGCACCGGCUAACUUCGUGCCAGCAGCCGCGGUAAUACGAAGGGUGCAAGCGUUAUCCGGAAUCAUUGGGUUUAAAGGGUGCGUAGGCGGAGCGUUAAGUCAGUGGUGAAAUCCUGCAGCUUAACUGUAGACUUGCCAUUGAUACUGGCGCUCUUGAGUGCGCUUGAAGUGGGCGGAAUGUGCCGUGUAGCGGUGAAAUGCUUAGAUAUGGCACAGAACACCAAUUGCGAAGGCAGCUCACUAAGGCGAUACUGACGCUGAGGCACGAAAGCGUGGGGAUCGAACAGGAUUAGAAACCCGUGUAGUCC
rnacentral:rRNA from 1 species